UACGGAGGGGACUAGCGUUGUUCGGAAUUACUGGGCGUAAAGCGCGCGUAGGCGGAUUUGCAAGUCGGGGGUGAAAUCCCGAGGCUCAACCUCGGAACUGCCCUCGAUACUGCAAAUCUCGAGUCCGGAAGAGGUGAGUGGAAUUCCUAGUGUAGAGGUGAAAUUCGUAGAUAUUAGGAAGAACACCGGUGGCGAAGGCGGCCCACUGGAUCGGUACUGACGCUGAGGUGCGAAAGCGUGGGGAGCAAACAGG
rnacentral:rRNA from 1 species